rnacentral:rRNA from 1 species
UACGUAGGGGGCGAGCGUUGUCCGGAAUUAUUGGGCGUAAAGGGCGCGUAGGCGGCUGAUCAAGUCUGAUGUGAAAGUGCGGGGCUUAACUCCGUAAAGCAUUGGAAACUGGUCGGCUUGAGGACAGGAGAGGAAGGUGGAAUUCCACGUGUAGCGGUGAAAUGCGUAGAGAUGUGGAGGAACACCAGUGGCGAAGGCGACUUUCUGGACUGUAACUGACGCUGAGGCGCGAAAGCGUGGGGAGCGAACAGGAUUAGAUACCCUGGUAGUCCACGCCGUAAACGAUGAGUGCUAGGUGUAGAGGGUAUCGACCCCUUCUGUGCCGCAGUUAACACAAUAAGCACUCCGCCUGGGGAGUACGGCCGCAAGGUUGAA